ACAGCAGCAGCCACGGUAAUACGAAGGGGGCUAGCGUUGUUCGGAAUUACUGGGCGUAAAGCGCACGUAGGCGGACAUUUAAGUCAGGGGUGAAAUCCCGGGGCUCAACCCCGGAACUGCCUUUGAUACUGGGUGUCUAGAGUAUGGAAGAGGUGAGUGGAAUUCCGAGUGUAGAGGUGAAAUUCGUAGAUAUUCGGAGGAACACCAGUGGCGAAGGCGGCUCACUGGUCCAUUACUGACGCUGAGGUGCGAAAGCGUGGGGAGCAAACAGGAUUAGAUACCCCCGUAGUCCCUGUCUCUUAUAC
rnacentral:rRNA from 1 species